GACAGAGGAUGCAAGCGUUAUCCGGAAUUACUGGGCGUAAAGGGCUCGUAGGCGGCCAACUAAGUCAUACGUGAAAUCCCUCAGCUUAACUGGGGAACUGCGUGUGAUACUGGAUGGCUUGGAUUUGGGAGAGGGAUGCGGAAUUCCAGGUGUAGCGGUGAAAUGCGUAGAUAUCUGGAGGAACACCGGUGGCGAAGGCGGCAUCCUGGACCAAUAUUGACGCUGAGGAGCGAAAGCCAGGGGAGCAAACGGG
rnacentral:rRNA from 1 species